rnacentral:rRNA from 1 species
UACGGGGGGAGCAAGCGUUGUUCGGAUUUACUGGGCGUAAAGGGCGCGUAGGCGGCCACCGCAAGUCGGUUGUGAAAUCUCUGGGCUUAACCCAGAAAGGUCAACCGAUACUGCGGGGCUAGAGUGCAGAAGGGGCAACUGGAAUUCUCGGUGUAGCGGUGAAAUGCGUAGAUAUCUGGAGGAACACCGGUGGCGAAGGCGGCAUCCUGGACCGAGAUUGACGCUGAGGCGCGAAAGCCAGGGGAGCAAACGGG